rnacentral:rRNA from 1 species
GCCUGCGUUCCAUUAGCUAGUUGGUGGGGUAACGGCCCUACCAAGGCAACGAUGGGUAGCCGAUCUGAGAGGAUGAUCGGCCACACUGGAACUGAAACACGGUCCAGACUCCUACGGGAGGCAGCAGUGGGGAAUAUUGCGCAAUGGGCGAAAGCCUGACGCAGCGACGCCGCGUGAGGGAUGAAGGUCUUCGGAUCGUAAACCUCUGUCAGAAGGGAAGAAACUAGGGUGCUCUAAUCAUCAUCCUACUGACGGUACCUUCAAAGGAAGCACCGGCUAACUCCGUGCCAGCAGCCGCGGUAAUACGGAGGGUGCAAGCGUUAAUCGGAAUCACUGGGCGUAAAGCGCACGUAGGCUGUUAUGUAAGUCAGGGGUGAAAUCCCACGGCUCAACCGUGGAACUGCCCUUGAUACUGCACGACUUGAAUCCGGGAGAGGGUGGCGGAAUUCCAGGUGUAGGAGUGAAAUCCGUAGAUAUCUGGAGGAACAUCAGUGGCGAAGGCGGCCACCUGGACCGGUAUUGACGCUGAGGUGCUAAAGCGUGGGGAGCAAACAGGAUUA